GAUGAACGCUGGCGGCGUGCUUAACACAUGCAAGUCGAACGGAAAGGCUCCGCCUUGGAGGGGUACUCGAGUGGCGAACGGGUGAGUAACACGUGGGUGAUCUGCCCUGCACUUCGGGAUAAGCCUGGGAAACUGGGGCUAAUACCGGAUAGGAGCACAUGCUGGAUGGUGUGGUGGAGAGUUUUUCGGUGGGGGAUGAACUAGCGGCCUAUCAGCUUGUUGGUGGGGUAGUGGCCUACCAAGGCGUCGACGGGUAGCCGGCCUGAGAGGGUGAACGGCCACAUUGGGACUGAGAUACGGCCCAGACUCCUACGGGAGGCAGCAGUGGGGAAUAUUGCACAAUGGGCGGAAGCCUGAUGCAGCAACGCCGCGUGGGGGAUGACGGCCUUCGGGUUGUAAACCGCUUUCGCCUGGGACGAAGCGUGAGUGACGGUAAUUGGUAAAGAAGCACCGGCUAACUACGUG
rnacentral:rRNA from 1 species